rnacentral:rRNA from 1 species
CACCGAGAUCCUAGUACUGCGAGUGAGCGGGAUGAGCUCAAAUUUAAAAUCUGGCGGUCUUUGUGGCCGUCCGAGUUGUAGUCUGGAGAAGUGUUAUCCGCGUCGGACCGUGUACAAGUCUCCUGGAAUGGAGCGUCAUAGAGGGUGAGAAUCCCGUCCAUGACACGGACGCCCGAUGCUUUGUGAGGCACUCUCGAAGAGUCGAGUUGUUUGGGAAUGCAGCUCAAAAUGGGUGGUAAAUUCCAUCUAAAGCUAAAUAUUGGCGAGAGACCGAUAGCGAACAAGUACCGUGAGGGAAAGAUGAAAAGCACUUUGGAAAGAGAGUUAAAUAGUACGUGAAAUUGUUGAAAGGGAAACGCUUGAAGUCAGUCGCGUCCCGUGGAACUCAGCCUGGCUUCGGCCUGGUGUAUUUUCUAUGCGGACGGGUCAACAUCAGUUUUGGCCGGCGGAAAAAGGCAGAGGGAAUGUAGCGCCGCUUCGGCGGCGUGUUAUAGCCCUCUGUCAAAUACGCUGGCGGGGACUGAGGACCGCAGCACGCCCUUGUGGCCGGGGGUUCGCCCCACGUUCGUGCUUAGGAUGUUGGCAUAAUGGCUUUAAGCGACCCGUCUUGAAACACGGACCAAAC